rnacentral:rRNA from 1 species
AAAUAGCCGCAGAAAUUUAACUGUGCUAAGGUAGCAUAAUCAUUUGAUUUUUAAUUAAAAUCUAGAAUGAAAGACUUAACAAUUUAAAUUCUUUUUUAUUUUUAAUCAUUAAAAUUUUAUUAAAAAUAAAAAUAUUUUUAUUUUUUAAAAAGACGACAAGACCCUUUUAAACUUAACUUUAGUUUAACUGGGACAGUUAUUUAAUAAUUAUUUUAAAAUAUUUAUUUUACUAAUAACCUAAUAUUAUUAAAUUAACAAGUUACUAAAGGGAUAACAGCGUAAUUUAUACUUAAAGCUCUUAUUUAAUUAUAAGAUUACGACCUCGAUGUUGAAUUAAAUUCCUUUUUUAAGCAAAAUAAAUAAAAGGGGGUC